CCAAACCGUCUCACCUCCUUUUUCCACUUCUCCCAGUGACGUCAUGGCGAUGAGACUGAUCAGUGUGCUGGCGUGUGUGGCUGCGGCCACGGCCAGCCAUCCUCCCCCUUACGGACACCCUACGCCCCACUAUGGCGGCUACCAGCAGCAGCACUACUGCGACCCGACGGCGGCGCCGGCCUGCGCGGCCAACUCGUCCCUCACCUACUGCCUCGAGGACGCCGAGUACCCGGCCUACGAGAUCAAGGCGGCCAUCUCGCAGGACCACCUGUUCGCCAAAAAGUACGCCGACAUCGGCACCCAGUCGGCCGACGACCUGGUCGACGGCCUGAGCGCCGAGCAGGAGUCGGCCUUCGACUACGGCUACUACACGGGCUCGUCCAAGGGCGACAGCCCAUACGACGUGACCCACUGGGCUGGCCCGGCCGGCUACAUCUGCCCCAGUGACGUGGCCUACGCGCAGCCGCGCCGCGCCCAGAACGUGGCCGGCGAGUGGCGCGUCAUCGUCAACGACGUGCACUACUACACGCAGACGGCCCGGCUGGAGACGUGCCUGCACCCGGACGCCGCCUGCCGCGCGCUGGCGCCCUGCUACAAGAGCAAGUGCACCCAGAAGUACAUCUACCACCGCAUGCUCUCGUACGACCCGUGCGACCCGUACAAGGGCCUCUUCAUCGACAUCUACCGGCUGCCGGCCGCCUGCAGCUGCCACGUGCCCGCCCUCUGAUUGGCUCACGCCGCCGCUGACGUCACUGACCUCUGGCCGGUCACGUGACUGGCGAGAAGCAGCGAGCGCCACUGCUGAUGAGCCCAGCGGCCAGUCUCUGGGGGGAGAUUUUUACCAUCUGCGACUGGCCAUGCAGUUUUACGGAACAUCGAACUCAAUAAAACGUGUUGCGAAUAUCAAUUAUUCAUGAUUUAAUAUGUUUCUGUGAUGAUUUUGUAAAUAUGUGAGAUCGUGUCAGCAAGUAAUAAAUUGACAUUGCCCAUGUA
rnacentral:misc_RNA from 1 species